rnacentral:rRNA from 1 species
GAUGCAACGCGAAGAACCCUACCUACUCUUGACAUCCAGAGAACUUUCCAGAGAUGGAUUGGUGCCUUCGGGAACUCUGAGACAGGUGCUGCAUGGCUGUCGUCAGCUCGUGUUGUGAAAUGUUGGGUUAAGUCCCGCAACGAGCGCAACCCUUAUCCUUUGUUGCCAGCGGUCCGGCCGGGAACUCAAAGGAGACUGCCAGUGAUAAACUGGAGGAAGGUGGGGAUGACGUCAAGUCAUCAUGGCCCUUACGAGUAGGGCUACACACGUGCUACAAUGGCGCAUACAAAGAGAAGCGACCUCGCGAGAGCAAGCGGACCUCAUAAAGUGCGUCGUAGUCCGGAUUGGAGUCUGCAACUCGACUCCAUGAAGUCGGAAUCGCUAGUAAUCGUGGAUCAGAAUGCCACGGUGAAUACGUUCCCGGGCCUUGUACACACCGCCCGUCACACCAUGGGAGUGGGUUGCAAAAGAAGUAGGUAGCUUAACCUUCGGGAGGGCGCUU